AACGAACGCUGGCGGCAUGCCUAACACAUGCAAGUCGAACGAGACCUUCGGGUCUAGGGGCGCACGGGUGCGUAACGCGUGGGAACUUGCCCUUAGGUUCGGAAUAACUCCCCGAAAGGGGUGUUAAUACCGGAUAAUGUCUUCGGACCAAAGAUUUAUCGCCUUUGGAUGGGCCCGGGUUGGAUUAGCCAGUUGGUAGGGUAAAAGCCUACCAAGGCGACGAUCCAUAGCUGGUCUGAGAGGAUGAUCAGCCACACUGGGACUGAGACACGGCCCAGACUCCUACGGAAGGGAGCGGUGGAGAAUAUUGGACGAUGGACGAAAGCCUGAUCAAGCAGUGCCGGGUGAGUGAUGAAGGCCUUAGGGUUGUAAAGCUCUUUUAGCCGGGAUGAUAAUGACAGUACCGGGAGAAUAAGCUCCGGCUAACUACGUG
rnacentral:rRNA from 1 species